UUCCCUGUGGCUCAGUUGGUAGAGCAUGGUGUUUGCAGCGCCAGCAUGGUGUGUGCAACGCCAGGGUUGUGGGUUUAAUUCCCACGGGGGGAC
rfam:Salmo salar isolate Sally breed double haploid chromosome ssa01, whole genome shotgun sequence.